rnacentral:lncRNA from 1 species
CAGCUGGAGGGCCCUGUCUCCACCAGCUCGUAAAACCGGAGGACGUCUGAGGAAGGGAACCACGCCAAUUGACGCCAGGCAGGCUGUCUCAUGGAGCCCUGAAAAGCUGUCAAAGAUGCGCUAAGCCUUCCAGGAUGGGGAUCUCACCUGAGGAGCAAAGCCAGUGAGAUGCUUCAGACCUAAGGGGAGAAGGCGCCUUGCAGAAGCUGGUUAACUCCAACCACCUGAGAGCCCCAGGAACGACAACAGGUCACUCUAGGUGACUCAUGACUCAUGCCACGUCGUGAGGAAAGCCCAGGGAGAGGCUCACGUGGCAAGAAACUGACGCCUGAAGAACUGAGUGAGCUUUCUUGGAAGUAGAUCCCUGAGCCCCAGAUGAUGGCAGUCCAGGCCAACAACUGACUCCAACCUCAUGAGACCCUGGGCCAGAACCACCCAGCGGAGCCACCUCCAGACUCCUGACCUACAGAAGCAGCGAGCAUCCUCUGCUCUGGAUUUUCGGCAGACACAGACCCAGAAGGGGCCACCAGUGAUGAAGACUGGGAGGAGAGGAGCGUCAUUUCUAGAAGGGAAAAGAGAACUGGUUAGCAGCUCUGGGUGUAAAAGCAGCACCCUUCCACAGUUUGAGGCAAACAGAACCCAUUUCCUGAGAACCAAAGGUCUCACUAUUGUCAACCCUCAGGAAAUCAGAUCGCACAUGUCAGUUGUAAACAGGGACAGCUGAAGCGCUUAGAAAGCCAUCACUGCAGAGAGAACUCCAACCUGUGCAAUACCAUUUUGAGAAUGUGUCCUGAAAAGAAGUAGCUAGCCCACUUUGAGUGAACAAAGCAUGUCUACAAGCUCCUUGCAAAAGAGGUUAGAGGGGUCUGACCUUAUAAGACUUGCUUUCACUUAAUCAGAUAUAAAACAUGGUCCAUGAUCAAAGCACCAGAAAUAACAAGCUGGAAGUUCAAAAUACAGAUGUAGCACAUUAAACAGAAUAUUAUGGGGAACACAGAACAAUGCCAACUAAGGGUAAAAUAAAAAAUAAGAAAUUAUCCAUCUGAGAUCUGGAUAAUUAUAGGACCUAUCAUUUUCCAGUCACUGUAAUGGUAGGUCAACACUAGCAUAUAAUGAAAUAGGUAAAAAAAAUUGUUUAGAUUUUCCCUAUGAAAACCUUAACCAAAACUCACAAGCAGGUUUUGUUACUCAAAUGUCCUAGUAGAUACAAACUUACUAUAAACAUGAAGCUUAUCAAUGGUAUUUUCAAGUAUAAGAAUCUCUAAGAACUAAACUGCAUUAUUCUAAAAAACAAAUAUGUAUCCUGUCAUUAGCUUUUACAAUUAUCUGACUAUUACUUAGAUACACAGGAUGAGAGAGUUAUCUAUAAACAUGGAACAGCGUUUGUUCAUCUGAAAUGAGCAUUAAACAUGGUAAUAAGCAAAGGAAAAGAACAGCAGUGAAACAAUCAGCCUCUGCUUAGUCUAUCAAAUUCUUUAUGAUCCAAUUAAACAACUACAAAUUUGGUAUGUAAAUAUACUAGUAAGUCUGAGUACAAUUACAGGACUAUUUUAACCCAGGUUUAAGAAGCAAAAACACAAGUGUUCAAACUACUUAAGGAAAGUCGGCCUUCACAGCAGAUUUUAUUCUCCAAAACACUUUCCACACUGCUUUCUCUCAGAAGUUAGGAAUUCUGGGACGGGUGCAGUGGCUCACGCCCAUGAUCCCAGCACUUUGGGAGGCCAAGGCUGGCAGAUCACUUGAGGUCAGGAGUUCGAGACCAGCCUGGCCAACAUGGCAAGCUUCCAUCUCUACUAAAAAUACAAAAAUGCUAAGCAUAGUGGCACACACCUGUGAUCCCAGGUACUUGGGAGGCUGAGUCAUGAGAAUCACUUGAACCCAGGAGGCAGAGGUUGCAGCGACACGAGAUAGUGCCAUUAUUGCACUCCAGACUGGGUGACAGAGAAAGACCCUGUCUCAAAAAAGUAAUUCCAGUGUUUUAGAAUACAACCCAAAUUCUGGUUUCUAGAUGCCAUUCUCCACUAAAAGGAGGCAGGGUUCUUUGAAGAAAUGGCUAAUUCCAGGGCUGGGGCAGAGAAGGUAUAGCUGAGCCUGAAAUGUGGGAGAAAGUGAAGAAGUACUCAACAACAUGGUGGGGAUAGGUCAAAGGGCACAGAGGCCAGCUUGAAGGGGCUCCCACUGGCCAAUCUGGCACAAUUUGAGUAUAAAUGAAAAAGCACAAUGGAUUAUUCCACUGAAUAAGAACCUGUAAGUACAUAUUGAUAAUAUGUAAGUACAUAAAUAAAUGGGGGAGAAGAGAAAACUCUUUGUUAUGGUAGAAUGUCAGCUGAUAAAUAAGAGAAGAAAUAAUGGAGUCAGCAAAUCACCAUUUUAGGCCAAGUGUGGUGGCUCAUGCCUAUAAUCCCAGCACUUUGGGAGGCCGAGGUGGGUAGAUCACUUGAGCUUGGAGUUCAAGACCAGCCUGGGCAACAUGGUGAAACCUCACCUCUACAAAAAAUACAAAAAUUAGCAGCACAUGGACUGGCACACACCUAUAGUCCCAGCUACUCAGGAGGCUGAGGUGGGAGGAUGGCUUGAGCCUGGGUGGCAGAGGUUGCAGUAAGCUGAGAUUAUGCCACUGCACUCCAGCCUGAGUAAAAAAAAAAUCUGGCCAGGUGCAGUGGCUCACGCCUGUCAUCCCCGCACUUUGGGAGUCUGAGGCUGAGGCGGACAGAUCACCUGAGGUCAGAAGUUCGAGACCAGCCUGACCAACAUGGUGAAACCCCAUCUCUACUAAAAAUACAAAAAUUUGUAUUUUGCCUGUAAUUCCAGCUAUUCAGGAGGCUGAGGCAGAGGUUGCAGUGAGCCAAGAUUGCACCACUGCACUCCAGCCUGGGAGAACAGAGCAAGACUCCAUCUCAAAAAAAAAUCCAUGUUCAUACAAAAUACACACUGAAGCUUACUAAGGGGCACAAUAUAUGCAAUGUACUCUUAGUUCAUUAAAGAAAAAAAAACUGCAUGUGGAGAGUGGGGAUUGACAGAGAAUGAGAUAAAAACAGCAAAAUGUUAAAUAUGGGUGAAUUUGUAUAAAAUGUAUACAGGAGUUUUCAUUGUACUAUUGCAAUUUUCUGUAUAUUUGGUAUUAUUCAAAAUAAAACUUAAGACAUAACAGAAA